rnacentral:rRNA from 1 species
UACGAAGGGGGCUAGCGUUGUUCGGAAUUACUGGGCGUAAAGCGCACGUAGGCGGAUCGAUCAGUCAGGGGUGAAAUCCCAGGGCUCAACCCUGGAACUGCCUUUGAUACUGUCGAUCUGGAGUAUGGAAGAGGUGAGUGGAAUUCCGAGUGUAGAGGUGAAAAUUCGUAGAUAUUCGGAGGAACACCAGUGGCGAAGGCGGCUCACUGGUCCAUUCUGACGCUGAGGUGCGAAAGCGUGGGGAGCAAACAGGG